UACGUAGGGUGCAAGCGUUGUCCGGAAUUAUUGGGCGUAAAGAGCUCGUAGGCGGUCUGUCGCGUCUGCUGUGAAAACUCAGGGCUUAACCCUGAGCUUGCAGUGGGUACGGGCAGACUAGAGUGCGGUAGGGGAGACUGGAAUUCCUGGUGUAGCGGUGAAAUGCGCAGAUAUCGGGAGGAACACCAGUGGCGAAGGCGACUACCUGGCCUGUUCUUGACGCUGAGGCGCGAAAGCUAGGGGAGCAAACGGG
rnacentral:rRNA from 1 species